UCAAAUCAAAUCAAGUCAGUUUUAAUCAAAUAAUAUGCACCGUCAAAAAUCGAAAAAAGUUUUACUGAAAUUUUAGUGAUUGUUUAAACUUUUUAUUAAAAACAUUGAUGGAAUCAGGCCGUAAACCCUUUCAUAAGUAUGUUGUUCCGAUGCCAGCAUGCAUGGAGUUGUUUUCCAAAAGACAUACAUUAUCGAAGAACGAUCCUACAUUAUUUCAAAAGUGAUAUCAAGUGCGAAACCUUAAAAAUGAUCAACCUACUGGUAAUUUGGUAUCCAGUGAUGUCAAUCCAGGUACAAACCCUGUAUUUAAAGACAAACAUUUGUUGUAGAACUUUUUGGUGGACCACUCUCUCGUUGGUAUUAGACAUGUACUGUUACCUGAGAAAAGCAAUAACUGAAAAGGAGAAAGGAUCGGAUAACCCAAAUCAGGAAUCUUCAGAGUGCAGAUGAUGCAGUUUUUGUGAAAGAGGUAAGAUCUGCCUCUUGUAAGACCUCUUUCAAGAAUUUAACCCAGGGUUUACACCCAAGUUAGAUCUCAAGCAUAGCAAAGGAAUCGUACAACCUGUGAAUUCAGUUUAAUUACUGAGAUCAAGGAUGAUGAAACAUUCAUUAUGAUUAUACAGAGCUACAAAGAGUUAUGUUGAGAAUCCAAAUUAUCAUAAUGAAUUGAGACGAGACAAUACCUGGGUAGAAAUUGAGGAAAAUGCAGAAUAAAAGGCAUUUUUAUAUUAAUGUUAUGAAUCCAAUGUUUUAUCAAAUCGUCACAUAGAUAAUAUUUCUGUACGCAUAAUACUAAAAUUAAAAAGGUCAGCUUAAAACAACUUUACUUAUCCAUCGCGUGCGAAAACAGUGCUUCGCAUAUGGCAUAUGGCUUCGGCGCGCUUCGCUCAAGUGCGCAUCAUGCUUUAAACUUUUGCGGAGCGCCGGAGCGGCCAAAAUGUCACUGGAUUAAUUGCAUGUAUUUUGAUUCUUCGCGUUACUUCGCUUUAAUCCGUGGGUCUGCAUUUUUAUACAUAGAUAUCAUUGAUCCAAUUCACGUUUUCUCGCCGCGCUUCGAAUAAGUUCGCGACAAAACUUUGUUAGUUGUAUUUUAUAUUAUUUAAUGCCAUUGUAUUGAUUUAUUAUUAUUAUUGUAUUUAUAUGAACAAGUUAAG